UCUCUUAAGUUCAAUUUAUACUACAGCUGUUUUGCAGAUAAAUUCACAAGUUUAGUCUUUUAGGAUUUGAUGCAUUUGGAAUUAUUGCAACAAAACCGUACAUCUUCACCAUAUACAUAAUCGGGUAGUGCAGCGUGACACUGCUGUGUGCACUUAAUGAGUUCUCUAAACAGUUGUGAAUAACGUUAGGUCAACAGUCAGCAAUGUUUUUGGACAGCACGCUGAAUACAUCCGCAAACUCUGCUUGUAAGAUGUUAGUGUGCUGGUGUCUCCGAUACCAUGUAGCUUCUCAGUCUUUUAUAGGCUGAGAUCAGUGUAGUCCCCAUUUUCUGUAUUAGUAAGAUGCCACAUGGUAUCAUCUGUAGUGACUGAAUUACUGUCUCUUUGGUAAUGUAUACAUUAAAAAAAAAAAUCUAAGCCAAGCUAGGAAGGAAUGUGCUUCCUAGUUUAAAAUGGUAGCAAAAUUGCCAGUUCAAGUGUUUAAUGCAUUUCAAAAGGAGGUAUAUAAUGAUAGCAGAAUCUUUUUUUUUUUCCAAAGCCAGAACAAAAGAGGCCUAAAGAGUUUUAGUCAUAUUAAAAUUUAGAUUUGUAUAAUGGUACUAAUCAAAUCUCAUCAAGAAAGCAAAAUGUCUUAGCUGACAACUUGUGAGUCUUGGGCCAAGUAACAGGAAAAUAAGCAUUUACCAUGAAGCCAGCAGCUGAUUAGCAGCUGGAAUUGUGCAACCCAUUCCAACCUAAUGGGAAAGUAUUUCUCCAGCCAAAUCUAGACAUUUCAUCAUAUCCUCAUAGUUAGGAAGCUAAGUGCCAGGCUCUCCCCCAGGCAGCCCUUAGCUGUACUACUUCUUCCAACUAUAUGAUCUGCACUAUGACUAGCACCGUAGUAUCUAGUAAUCCCGUCAUGGCAGAGACCACGUUAUGCCAUCUAUGCCUUUAGACAGUGAGCUCCUCUGAACAGAGAUCAGUUGCUCUUUCAACCCUAAGCAACGUAUGCUGGCAGCACUAUGUAAAUAAUUCUAUUAAAGCUCUGCAUUAACUAGUUUCUCUCUACUUCAACCUUUAUAACUUCAACAUUAAUACCUUUGGAAAGCAGUAUCUUAACUAAAAAGAUUAUUCCUGAUACAGCUAUGGGUCCUGGCCUAUUUGAAGGGUCAAACACCACUGACAUCCACUGACAGAUUUCAGAAAAAUAAAGUUAUUUUGCAGAGAACUGGAAAACCUGCCAAGAUUGCAGGUCAGGGCUCUUUCUGCUACCACCAUUCAAAACACCGCCUAGUCAGGCGCAUGAAGAGAAUAACUUUAGGCUUUUGUAAUCUAAAUUAUUUGGUUAGCAUGUACUGUCUUCAAAAGCUUCUAGUCAAAGGGGCACUGGUGACCCAAGGCAACUCUGGUAGAGAUCUCCACGGCUUCAGUUUCUGCAAAACUACUCGAGCCUGUAGAAAGGCUGAAAGUGCUUGUGACUGGAGGGAACUUUCCAGCUAUGAAUAGUACCAUCCUCCCAAGCUCACUUCCCUGCACAGUGGCAGUGGGACUGACAAGACACCACUGGGGCUCAGAGCUGCUAUUCAAACCCUCCCAGCAACUGUGAAUCAAGUCACUGUCUGUCUGCUACUACGGGCAGCAGCUGGCACUGAAGCAUUUCUUGGGGAAGAGGAAGAGGCAGAGAGAGCAUGCACACAAACACUAGUGAGCAAGAAGGUGGUGGAGGAAGGGACCUGCCUCUAAACCACACCCUCGUUUUCCUUUCCGGGAGCAGCAAGUGCCUGCAAAUCUUGAAGUUUGACAUCUUAGAAGCCAGACCAAAGGCUUCCUGGGGCCAUGGAGUCCAUGGUACUACAACCAUUUCAGGCAACUGCUAAAAGCUCCAUCUUAAAACCAAUGAGGCUCUUCGAGUCUCUCUCCUCAACUGGCUCUCUUUUCCUGAUGAUCCUAGCAGCCCUCCCUCUGUACCUAUUCCAGCUAUAGCACCUGCACCACCAUAAAAGCUUUGGACAUUGGUCUUGAUUAAAAGAACAAGAUGCCUUUCUGGAAUCCAGUCUCUGUCGCCUAUUCUGGCAGCACAAUCAUGCUCUUCAAGACUACUAAAAAAAACCAGGAAUCACAAUUCCCACCAUCCAGCUCCAUCUGGUAAGUAACUGUGCAACUAGCCAAGUCUGGUUUUUCUCUUUUGUGGCUA